rnacentral:rRNA from 1 species
CCUACGGGGGGCUGCAGUGGGGCAUAUUGGGCAAUGGGCGCAAGCCUGACCCAGCAACGCCGCGUGAAGGAAGAAGGCUUUCCGGUUGUUAACCUCUUUUGUUAGGGAAGAGUAGAAGACGGUGCCUGCCGAAUAAGCCAUGUCUAACUACGUGCCAGCAGCCGCGGUAAUACGUAGGUGGCAGGCGUUGUCCGGAUUUACUGGGUGUAAAGGGCGUGUAGCCGGGUUGACAAGUCAGUUGUGAAAGCCUGCGGCUUAACCGCAGAACUGCAUUUGAAACUGUUGAUCUUGAGUACUGCAGGGGCAGACGGAAUUCCUGGUGUAGCGGUGAAAUGCGUAGAUAUUAGGAGGAACACCAGUGGCGAAGGCGGUCUGCUGGACAGCAACUGACGGUGAGGCGCGAAAGCGUGGGGAGCAAACAGGAUUAGAUACCCCAGUAGUC